rnacentral:rRNA from 1 species
CUACGGGAGGCAGCAGUGGGGAAUAUUGCACAAUGGGCGAAAGCCUGAUGCAGCAACGCCGCGUGUGCGAUGAAGGCCUUCGGGUCGUAAAGCACUUUUCUGAGGGAUGAGCAAGGACAGUACCUCAGGAAUAAGUCUCGGCUAACUACGUGCCAGCAGCCGCGGUAAAACGUAGGAGGCAAGCGUUAUCCGGAUUCACUGGGCGUAAAGCGCGUGCAGGUGGUUCGGUAAGUUGGACGUGAAAUCUCCUGGCUUAACUAGGAGAGGUCGUUCAAUACUACCGGACUUGAGAGUGGUAGAGGAAGAUGGAAUUCCCGGUGUAGUGGUGAAAUGCGUAGAUAUCGGGAGGAACACCAGUGGCGAAAGCGAUCUUCUGGACCAUUUCUGACACUCAGACGCGAAAGCUAGGGUAGUAAACGGGAUUAGAUACCCGGGUAGUCCC